rnacentral:rRNA from 1 species
UACGUAGGGUGCAAGCGUUAAUCGGAAUUACUGGGCGUAAAGCGUGCGCAGGCGGUUCGGAAAGAAGAUGUGAAAUCCCAGGGCUCAACCUUGGAACUGCAUUUUUAACUCCCGAACUAGAGUAUGUCAGAGGGGGGUGGAAUUCCACGUGUAGCAGUGAAAUGCGUAGAUAUGUGGAGGAACACCGAUGGCGAAGGCAGCCCCCUGGGAUAAUACUGACGCUCAUGCACGAAAGCGUGGGGAGCAAACAGGAUUAGAAACCCGUGUAGU